rnacentral:rRNA from 1 species
AGAGUUUGAUCCUGGCUCAGGAUGAACGCUGGCGGCGUGCCUAAUACAUGCAAGUCGAACGCUUUGUGGUUCAACUGAUUUGAAGAGCUUGCUCAGAUAUGACGAUGGACAUUGCAAAGAGUGGCGAACGGGUGAGUAACACGUGGGAAACCUACCUCUUAGCAGGGGAUAACAUUUGGAAACAGAUGCUAAUACCGUAUAACAAUGACAACCGCAUGGUUGUUAUUUAAAAGAUGGUUCUGCUAUCACUAAGAGAUGGUCCCGCGGUGCAUUAGCUAGUUGGUAAGGUAAUGGCUUACCAAGGCGAUGAUGCAUAGCCGAGUUGAGAGACUGAUCGGCCACAAUGGGACUGAGACACGGCCCAUACUCCUACGGGAGGCAGCAGUAGGGAAUCUUCCACAAUGGGCGAAAGCCUGAUGGAGCAACGCCGCGUGUGUGAUGAAGGGUUUCGGCUCGUAAAACACUGUUGUAAGAGAAGAAUGACAUUGAGAGUAACUGUUCAAUGUGUGACGGUAUCUUACCAGAAAGGAACGGCUAAAUACGUGCCAGCAGCCGCGGUAAUACGUAUGUUCCAAGCGUUAUCCGGAUUUAUUGGGCGUAAAGCGAGCGCAGACGGUUAUUUAAGUCUGAAGUGAAAGCCCUCAGCUCAACUGAGGAAUUGCUUUGGAAACUGGAUGACUUGAGUGCAGUAGAGGAAAGUGGAACUCCAUGUGUAGCGGUGAAAUGCGUAGAUAUAUGGAAGAACACCAGUGGCGAAGGCGGCUUUCUGGACUGUAACUGACGUUGAGGCUCGAAAGUGUGGGUAGCAAACAGGAUUAGAUACCCUGGUAGUCCACACCGUAAACGAUGAGUGCUAGGUGUUUGAGGGUUUCCGCCCUUAAGUGCCGCAGCUAACGCAUUAAGCACUCCGCCUGGGGAGUACGACCGCAAGGUUGAAACUCAAAGGAAUUGACGGGGACCCGCAC